AGUAAAUCGACGAAAAUUCGACCUACCCUGUGUUUAUUUUCAAUAUUUUGAACCACUUUUUUCCGUCUCAACCAUUUGGUUGAGAUUAGAUGGUUUACCAGGCGUGUCAAUGACAGGACAAUAUGAAAUCUCUUCAUCAACUAACCAUUACACUAGCUUUUAUUUUUUAACAAUUUUUCUAUCCGAAUGUUAACGGAGAUGGUCUGGCC
rnacentral:lncRNA from 1 species